UACGAAGGGGGCUAGCGUUGUCCGAAAUUACUGGGCGUAAAGCGCACGUAGGCGGAUCCUUAAGUCAGGCGUGAAAUCCCGAGGCUCAACCUCGGAACUGCCUUUGAUACUGGGGAUAUCGAGUCCGGGAGAGGUGAGUGGAACUGCGAGUGUAGAGGUGAAAUUCGUAGAUAUUCGCAAGAACACCAGUGGCGAAGGCGGCUCACUGGCCCGGUACUGACGCUGAGGUGCGAAAGCGUGGGGAGCAAACAGG
rnacentral:rRNA from 1 species